AUUGAACGCUGGCGGCAGGCCUAACACAUGCAAGUCGAACGGUAACAGAAAGAAGCUUGCUUCUUUGCUGACGAGUGGCGGACGGGUGAGUAAUGUCUGGGAAACUGCCUGAUGGAGGGGGAUAACUACUGGAAACGGUAGCUAAUACCGCAUAACGUCGCAAGACCAAAGAGGGGGACCUUCGGGCCUCUUGCCAUCGGAUGUGCCCAGAUGGGAUUAGCUAGUAGGUGGGGUAACGGCUCACCUAGGCGACGAUCCCUAGCUGGUCUGAGAGGAUGACCGCCCACGUGGAAAGGAGACAACGCCCCAGACUCCGACGGGGGGAGAGGGUGGGAAAUAUUGCACAAGGGGCGAAAGCCGGAUGCGGCCGGCCCGGGUGUAAGAAAAAGUCUUCGGGUUUGUAAAGACCUUCCAGGGGGGGGAAAGGGGUAAAGUUUAAUACCUUCCCUCAUGGACGUUCCCGGAAAAAAAAGCCCCGGCUAACUCCGUG
rnacentral:rRNA from 1 species